rnacentral:rRNA from 1 species
AUACGGAGGUGGCGAGCGUUGCUCGGAUUUACUGGGUGUAAAGAGCACGUAGGCGGUCUUGUAAGCCUUUCCUGAAAGGCUCUGGCUCAACCAGAGCAGUGGGCAGGGGACUGCAGGACUGGAGGGUGGAAGAGGCAAGCGGAAUUCCCGGUGUAAGGGUGAAAUCUGUAGAUAUCGGGAGGAACACCAGUGGCGAAGGCGGCUUGCUAGUCCACUUCUGACGCUGAGGUGCGAAAGCUAGGGGAGCAAACAGGAUUAGAAACCCCGGUAGUCC